rnacentral:rRNA from 1 species
UACGGAGGAUGCAAGCGUUAUCUGGAAUGAUUGGGCGUAAAGCGUCCGCAGGUGGCUAUGUAAGUCUGCUGUUAAAGAGUGAGGCUCAACCUCAUAAGAGCAGUGGAAACUACAUAGCUAGAGUGCGUUCGGGGCAGAGGGAAUUCCUGGUGUAGCGGUGAAAUGCGUAGAUAUCAGGAAGAACACCGGUGGCGAAAGCGCUCUGCUAGGCCGCAACUGACACUGAGGGACGAAAGCUAGGGGAGCGAAUGGG